UACGUAGGGUGCAAGCGUUGUCCGGAAUUAUUGGGCGUAAAGAGCUCGUAGGUGGCCUGUCGCGUCGGCUGUGAAAACUCGGGGCUCAACUCCGAGCUUGCAGUCGAUACGGGCGGGCUAGAGUUCGGCAGGGGAGACUGGAAUUCCUGGUGUAGCAGUGAAAUGCGUAGAUAUCAGGAGGAAUACCGAUGGCGAAGGCAGGUCUCUGGGCUGACACUGACGCUCAUGCACGAAAGCGUGGGAGC
rnacentral:rRNA from 1 species